UCCCAUUAGCUAGUUGGUAAGGUAACGGCUUACCAAGGCUACGAUGGAUAGGGGAACUGAGAGGUUUGUCCCCCACACUGGAACUGAGACACGGUCCAGACUCCUACGGGAGGCAGCAGUGAGGAAUAUUGGUCAAUGGAGGCAACUCUGAACCAGCCAAGUCGCGUGAAGGAUGACGGCCCUACGGGUUGUAAACUUCUUUUUUAAGGGAAUAAAGUGGGCCACGUGUGGCUUUUUGCAUGUACCUUACGAAUAAGGAUCGGCUAACUCCGUGCCAGCAGCCGCGGUAAUACGGAGGAUCCGAGCGUUAUCCGGAUUUAUUGGGUUUAAAGGGUGCGCAGGCGGAAUAUUAAGUCGGCGGUGAAAGUUUGCAGCUUAACUGUAAAAUUGCCGUUGAUACUGGUAUUCUUGAGUGUAUAUGAAGUAGGCGGAAUUUGUAGUGUAGCGGUGAAAUGCAUAGAUAUUACAAGGAACUCCGAUUGCGAAGGCAGCUUACUAAAUUACAACUGACGCUUAGGCACGAAGGCGUGGGUAUCAAACAGGAUUAGAUACCCUGGUAGUCCACGCAGUAAACGAUGAUUACUCGCUGUUUGCGAUACACAGUAAGCGGCUUAGCGAAAGCGUUAAGUAAUCCACCUGGGGAGUACGUUCGCAAGAAUGAAACUCAAAGGAAUUGACGGGGGCCCGCACAAGCGGAGGAACAUGUGGUUUAAUUCGAUGAUACGCGAGGAACCUUACCCGGGCUUGAAAUGCUAUUGACCGGGCUCAGAGACGAGCCUUCCCUUUCGGGGCAAUAGUGUAGUGCUGC
rnacentral:rRNA from 1 species